GAUGAACGCUGGCGGCGUGCCUAAUACAUGCAAGUCGAGCGAACGGACGAGAAGCUUGCUUCUCUGAUGUUAGCGGCGGACGGGUGAGUAACACGUGGAUAACCUACCUAUAAGACUGGGAUAACUUCGGGAAACCGGAGCUAAUACCGGAUAAUAUUUUGAACCGCAUGGUUCAAAAGUGAAAGACGGUCUUGCUGUCACUUAUAGAUGGAUCCGCGCUGCAUUAGCUAGUUGGUAAGGUAACGGCUUACCAAGGCAACGAUGCAUAGCCGACCUGAGAGGGUGAUCGGCCACACUGGAACUGAGACACGGUCCAGACUCCUACGGGAGGCAGCAGUAGGGAAGCUUCCGCAAUGGGCGAAAGCCUGACGGAGCAACGCCGCGUGAGUGAUGAAGGUCUUCGGAUCGUAAAACUCUGUUAUUAGGGAAGAACAUAUGUGUAAGUAACUGUGCACAUCUUGACGGUACCGAAACAGAAAGCCACGGCUAACUACGU
rnacentral:rRNA from 1 species